UCUUAAAAAACGAUGAUGAUGAACACAGA
rnacentral:piRNA from 1 species